GUUUUAAUAGUUGAGGUACAACAGUGGUUUUUCGAGUCGCAGGUUUUGGUUAAUGGCCAAAUUAAAACG
rnacentral:tRNA from 1 species